rnacentral:rRNA from 1 species
UAGAUGGCGCCGGCGCACGGGUGAGUAACACGUAUCCAACCUGCCGAUAACUCGGGGAUAGCCUUUCGAAAGAAAGAUUAAUACCCGAUGGUAUAAUAAAACCGCAUGGUUUAAUUAUUAAAGAAUUUCGGUUAUCGAUGGGGAUGCGUUCCAUUAGGCAGUUGGUGAGGUAACAGCUCACCAAACCUUCGAUGGAUAGGGGUUCUGAGAGGAAGGUCCCCCACAUUGGAACUGAGACACGGUCCAA